UGUAACGACGGUGGAUUCAACUCAAUUCCUUUGUUCGUCUAGAUCUGUAUUUUGACUUAUUUUAGCAAUAAGAUUAAUUUAUUUUAUUUUACCGGAAAGAAAAAAAAAAAAAAGAGAGAAGAUAUGGUAGGCGGACGCGGCGGAGCUGGUGGUUGUGGUAACAGAGCGGUGGCGGAUCGAUGGCUUGUUACAUCGGAAAAACUUCUAGCGUCUAGUGAUCUUCAAGGAGCGAAGACAUUUGCGAUCCGCGCAUGCGAAGCUGACCCGACCCGAGCAGAAGCUGCUGACUACAUCCUCGCAAUCUGCGACGUUCUUCUCGCCGGAGAAACCCGUUUAGGUCAUUCCAACUUGCCUGACUGGUACGCCGUGCUCCGACUCGGUCGUUUAGCUCAAAACCCUGAACACGUCGCCACUCAGUACCGUAGACUCGCUCUUCUCCUCAACCCUUCCGUGAAUCGCCUCCCUUUCGCCGAUCGGGCUUUCAAAACCGUCUCUGAUGCUUGGUUCGUUCUCUCUGAUCCGUCUAAGAAGUCAUUGUACGACCGAGAAUUGCAACUGAGUCAACUCGGCCAAUCUGGUUUCAAUCCCCAAACCCAACAAUCUCAGUGGAACCCUAGCAAUUGCAAGGCUGGGACCUCGACUGAUCCUAUGGCCACGAGCUUCUGGACCGCUUGUCCUUACUGCUUUGUGCUCUUUGAGUACCCUAAGGCUUACGAGGAAUGUACUUUGAAAUGUCAAGAGUGUAGAAGAGCGUUUCAAGCUGUGACUAUACCAAAACCUCCAGUGGAUGGGAAAGAUAACGAAGAUGUUUACUUUUGCUCAUGGGCUUUGUUUCCAUUAGGGUUUUCCGGUGAAUUUAAGGCUCCGAGUUGGUCACCUAUUUCACCUCUCUUUGCUUGCCCUCUGAAAAGGGUGGAUGAUGAUGAAUCAACACUGAAGAAGAGAAAGGAACCAGCUCCUCCUAGGGUGUAUUAUGACGAUGAUGACAUAUAUGUGUCGAUCUCGGAUGAAGAUGAUGAAGAUGAUGAUUGGCAAAAUGGGGUACAAGUGAAUAAGAAGGCUAAUAUUGGGAAAGGGAAAGAAACAUUGGUGAGAAGUGACAAGAGACAUCAUGGAGUUGAGAAAGUCCAAAAUGUAGAAAGUAUCCGUAGUGCUGGGGCUGUUGGUUCCUCAUCGGGGGUUAUGUCUAAACCAGUGAAUUACAUUACUAGAAAACGAAUGGGAACAGGAGCUAAGAACCUGGGGAGGUUGGAUUUGAAUGUGGAGUUCAGUAAUGAAGUGGAAGAGCCUGCUGUGGCAGGUGGGAGAAACGAAGGCAAUGGGGUGGGAAGUAACAGGGAGGUAGAUCAUAUGGAAGGGAUUGGGUUCUUUGAGGGGCUUGAUGAAUUCUUGAAUAGUUUGCCCAUACUUUCUGUUGUUGGAGAUGAUAAGAUCAAGGCUACUUAGUGAAGUUUCUUUUGUUGCACAAGAAUUUAUGUUCCUCCAACUCAAAAGGCCAUAGUGCAAAAUAUAGAUGUUUACAUGUCGUGGUUGCUGCUUCUGUCUGUGUUCAUUCACUAGAGACAUUUGUGAGUUCUUUGCUUUCUGGGCUGACAAAUGAAGAGAAAUAAGAAGAUACAGAAGCUAUUCAAGAAUGCUAUGCGCAUGUUAUUUGUGCUUAUACUCGCUCCAGCUGUGCAUUAGGGAAGGUUCUAUUGUCAUAUUGAUACAAAGCUUGUUGAAGCCAUCAAUGAUGAUGAAACUGUCAAGGCUACAAUGACCACCCACACAACUACUACACAGUACACACAUUAAAAUAUUUCUGUACAAUCUUUUUUCCUCUAAUUGUGAUGAAGACAGGUUCGUUUUAUCUAUCUUGCCUUGUCUUCUUGACCAUUGUUUCUUACUUAAAUUAACAUACAGAUGAAUCCGGAUAUUGAAUCCGGAUGUCAAAAACAGAUAUCGGUAGUAUUGGGCUCGAUUGUGCCUUUUUUAAU